AGAAUUGAACUGUACAAUGAUCAGGGACACAAAGGGGAAAAGAAAAGAGGAAACCUAAUUGUAGCUGAUGGCAGGUGACUCUAGUGCGAGUGCUGGCUAACAGACCUGACCAGUGUGCCCCUUGAGAGGUAUGCAAGUUUCACUGGAACAUACUAUGAGUCUACCAUGUUAUGAAACGUACAUUUAAGGAUGGUGAGAGCAGUAACAAGAGAAAACAUAGCAAGUUUAUUGGAAGAAUCUGUUCAAGAGGGCUAAUUCUCCCAAACUGAACAUACAUGGAUACUGAAGAGAAACUUCUAGCUCUGUCUGGAGACACAGUAAGAAAUGCAGUGGCCUUGUGCAACAUUGCAAAGAUUCAGACUGGACAGGUUUGCCUGGAAAAGUAAUGAAGGAUUCAGAUCAUCACCUUGUGUGUUGUUCUCUCCACACAACUUGGAUCAUGGAGCUGGAGCUGAGGGAGCAGGUGAGAUCUUGAAUCCAUUGCAAGCAGAGGAAAUGUUGUGAGGAACUUCACUUGGGCCACACAGUAGGUAGCUGCAUUUCAGCCUCUGAAGCAAAGGUCAGGUACGGAUGAAAAAAUCUUAUGCACUAUGAAUCCUAACUACAGGAAUGUUCAAGUUUCAGAAAUAUUGAGAACUCACACAGAAUAGUUUUGAAUACUCAGAUUUCCAGUUAUUGAGUUUAUGAAUAUUUUUGACAUUUGGUGAUACUGGAACCUUAUCUUACUGUCUAUUCUGCAACACACAGUUAUUGUUAUGGAGAAACAUUUUUCAUGUAAUUGAGUUUUCACAUUAGCACUAUUGCAUUCAUUAUUCAGAUCUGUGAGGACGUACAAUAUAUAUACAUAUACACCAAUUCUGUAUAGAAAUGUGUAACACAUUCCUAUGAGAAACACUGUACUAUAUUGGAUGACUCUUCUAGGAAAUACUAGAGUCUUCUUCUAUGAGCAUAUAAAAUACAAGACAAUUUGCCACAAAUGUUAUAAGCUGAGAAUUUACUUGCAUAAUGCAGAUAUAAGGUAUAUAUAAGAUAAAUUUUAAAUAUAAAUGAAGCAGAACUCUCAUGCCUCAUGACAGGAUUGAAUAUAGGCUAUAGUCUUAGGGCAGUCUACCUGCAAUAAAGAAAAAAUAUAUUUGGUAUUUUGAUUAAAGUCUUUUUGAUAAAAGCUGGGGUACUGCAGUUCUGGAAAGCUAUGUUUUAUUCUCUACUUUACUAGUCCAAGUGGAAAAAAAAUAUUAUUCAAAUUUAAAUGGAGAAUCUCUAUGUAAAAGAAAAACUGUUUCAGUGCUAUUGCCAUUUUGGAAAGCAACUGUUUAAGACGGAGCUUGUGAAUGAGUUUCAAGAGAAUUUUUUUUUUUUUAAUGCUGUAUGUUUCAAGGGUUAGGAUAGUUGGAAGACUGAUAGCAUACUCAAUCCACCCCAUUUCUGCCUAUCUCUGUAAUUCUGCUUAGUACUCAGUUUUGAAAAAAUACCAGCACAGACGAGCUUCUCUCACCCUGCAUAAAACGAGAUGAGAAAGUUUUCAUGAAAGUACCGGUUGUGUCCAAUCUUUUUUUUUUUUUUUUUUUUUUUUGAUCUUUUCACAUUUCACAAGUAGCAUAAUCUUGCACUAAAUCUCCUUGAUCCUGUUUGAUCUAGGAAGAAACAUUAUCACCUACAUUUUAAUGGAAAAGAAAUGACAACAUUUCAGGGUAACUGUACUUUUUGGUCUGAAAAAGAAUCAGCCAUUAAACAAAUUGUUCUACAUAUUCUGAACUGUACACAUUAAAAUAUUGCACUGGGCAAUACUGUAGUUUAUUUCAGUUAAGUAAAAUGAUAAAUUUCAAUUUAUUUCUGUGAAAUACUUUAAGACAGUAGUUUCUUAACACAAUCUACUUGCUUUUCUAAAUAUGUUUGCCAAACAAAGGAAGUUGAACUCUUUCAAUACUCAGUAAAUUCCAGAACACCUUUAAACACUCAUCUGUUGCAUUUAGUCAAUGCAUAAGUCAAAUUCUCUCUAUUUGGCCAUCUCUAUGUAAAGUAGUACUGGGGGUUGCUAUUAUUGUAUAUUAUCUAUUCAGACCUAGAAACUUAUAUAAAGAAAGGAUUUUCUUUUAAAGAACUUAAAACAUUGUUGGAUAAUCUGCAAACAGACUGAAAGAAGAGGCGAUAGAAAAAUUAUGGGAGAAGAAGUCAUGGAGUACUGCCUACACUUUUCUAAUUCUGUUCUUUAUCCCUCUCUGACAUUCAAAAUAAAUGAAUACCUUCUUGCAA